rnacentral:rRNA from 1 species
GCUUAGCCCUAAACCUCAAUAAUUAUCAAACAAAUUAUUUGCCAGAGUACUACCGGCAACAGCUUAAAACUCAAAGGACUUGGCGGUGCUUUAUAUCCUUC